AAACGACUCUCGGCAACGGAUAUCUCGCGUCUCGCAUCGAUGAAGAACGUAGCGAAAUGCGAUACUUGGUGUGAAUUGCAGAAUCACGUGAACCAUCGAGUCUUUGAACGCAAGUUGCGCCCGAAGCCUUCUGGCCAAGGGCACGUCUGCCUGGGUGUCACACG
rnacentral:rRNA from 1 species